UUCCAGCUCCAAUAGCGUAUAUUAAAGUUGUUGCAGUUAAAAAGCUCGUAGUUGAAUUUUGGACCUGGUUGAAUGGUCCCGCCGCAAGGUGGGUACUGUUUGAUUGGGUCUUUCUUUGCGGGGAAUUAGUGUGCUCUUAAUUGGGUGCAUUGAGGAUCCGUGACUUUUACUUUGAAAAAAUUAGAGUGUUUAAAGCGGGCUUAGGCCUGAAUACAUUAGCAUGGAAUAAUAGAAUAGGACCUGUGUUCUAUUUUGUUGGUUUCUAGGACGUAGGUAAUGAUUAAUAGGGACAGUUGGGGGCAUUAGUAUUUAAGUGUCAGAGGUGAAAUUCUUGGAUUGCUUAAAGACUAACUUCUGCGAAAGCAUUUGCCAAGGAUGUUUUCAUCG
rnacentral:rRNA from 1 species